rnacentral:sRNA from 1 species
GCUCCACCCCCUCGGGUUUGUCCUGGGAAGGGUUUGGCGGGGGGCCGGCCCUCCGGCCCUCCGGCCCUCUGCUGCCCGAGGGUUCCUCGCAGGCUGGAGCUGACGGCACUGGAGCGCGUGGUACGAAUCUCAGCCAAGCCCACCAAGCGGCUGCAGGAGGCGCUGCAGCCCAUUCUGGAGAAGCACGGCUUGAGCCCGCUAGAGGUGGCGCUGCACCGGCCCGGCGAGAAACAGCCUCUGGAUCUGGGGAAGCUAGUGAGCUCGGUGGCGGCCCAGAGACUGGUUUUGGACACUCUUCCAGGUGUGAAGAUCUCCAAAGCCCGUGACAAAUCUCCCUGCCGCAGCCAGGUGAGCGAAAGGCGAGUGGCCUCUUCCACCCUCUGCUUCUCCUCUCCCGAUUUUGGCUCUGACCCCGUAUUCUCGCAGGGCUGCCCACCUAGAACUCAGGACAAGGCCACCCAUCCCCCUCCAGCGUCCCCCAGUUCUCUGGUGAAGGUGCCCAGUAGUGCCACUGGAAAGCGGCAGACCUGUGACAUCGAAGGCCUGGUGGAGCUGCUGAACCGGGUGCAGAGCAGCGGGGCCCACGACCAGAGGGGCCUUCUGAGGAAAGAGGACCUGGUACUUCCAGAAUUUCUGCAGCUGCCCGCCCAAGGGUCCAGCUCCCAGGAGACCCCACCACAGACCGAAUCAGCAGCCCAGCCCAUCGGGGGAUCCUUGAACUCCACCACCGACUCAGCCCUCUGACAGCUACCCAACAGUCCAGGACAGCUGCAUGGCACCCGGCGGGCCGAGCAUGCCAUGGGUCCGCUCUGCAUGCCCUGUCUGUGCCAUGAGUGUCCCUGGCCCCUUCCUGCCAUGGGCAGGCCCGCAGGAAGAGCUGGUAGGGGUGGAAAGGGGACUCAGAUGAGACACACCCCACAGCUGCCACCGCCUUGUCCCUCAACAAGCUCACCCCCAAUCC